CUCUCUCUCUCUCUCUCUCUCUCUCUCUCUCUCUCUCUCUCUCUCACCGUGUAUUGGAUGAUGAACGGAGAAGAGUAAUUGGGCCAAACCCCAAUCUUCUUAGAUCUCAAACCAUCUGAUUUCUGAUCGAUCUGAGUCGCCAUUUUUGUAUAUGGCAUUUGAUUUCUGGUUCGAUUAGGUUACAGGGGUGGUCCCUUUUUUUAUCAUUUGGGUUGGGGAAAAUUUUUUUUGGGAUGAAGGCAUUUUAGUCUUUUUAUAUUUUUAACAUUAAUAUUGAAUAAAAAUAAUCAGUCACUUCCAUGAGCAUAUCAAACACAUUUUUAAACACCAUGUUCAUCUCUACAUCCAUAUCUAUCUCUAUUUUCAUAUCCAUCUCCGCAUAGUUAUAAAUUUGGAGCCUCGAGUGAAGAGUAGAGAGCCAUUAGCUUACUCUUCUCAUAGUGCUUCAUAAAUCAAUUGCCUUAUUGAACAGGAAUGGAAAUGGUUCCAUUCAAUGUUAAUAAUGAAAGGCAUAAAUUUUUUUGUAUCAAAAGUGCUUGAAAUCAAAGUGCCUACUAUUCUCAUCUGCACGCAUGUUAGGUUUUAUUGAACCUUCUUGUCUAAGGGCCUGUUUGGUACUUAGUGGUAAUAAGAAUGGGAGUAGGAAUAGGAAAGCUCUCUUGCAUAAAUAUAAGAAGUUUGUGGAUCCAAGAGAGUUGAUUUGCCAUCUGCUAGACACAACUAAAAAUACUUUCUCUCACCUUUUCUCUUUACUCAAAUCUUUUUUCCAUGUACCAAACUCAGCUUAAAUGCCUCUCAUUUGCACUGUUAUAGGGCUUUAACGGGGGGAGAUAAUAGGUGGUAGUUUUAAUGGAUUUGGACCCUUCAAAAACAGGAAAUGUGUCAUUAGACAUGCACAUCUCUUCAGAUUGCAUACGGAUUUCUGUUCUUGUUGUGUUAGUGGAGAAACUUUAAAGUUGCUGUUUAUUUAACCUGUUCCUGUGUAAUAAUAUACUGGCUACCAUGUUGUAAGACAUCAUAGAAUAAAUUAUAUGAAAUAUUUGACACUCACCAAAUGCAUGCUUCGCUACGCAUAUAUGAUACUAUCAGUAAUUUUUUCUCUCUCUCAUGGUUAAAGAAGGAGAAUGUUGAAUUGUUGGCUGAACUUCUGUGUCUUGCAAAAUUAUUCUGAAAGUACUUCACCCUCACCCUAAUCUUAACUUCACUUUCCAGGAUUGAGUCUGAACUCAUGCUCAUUGUAUACCAAUUAGUAUUCUUAGUUAGACUUUCUUUUGCCCCCCUUUCUGGUGAUGUAUUGUUAGAUAUUGGUUGGUUCUUAUAAUUGAUCAAAUUAGUGCUAUUGAUUCAAUUUCCGAUCCCCCAUAUCACUUGUUAAGGUUUUCUCUCACUGCUUGCUUCAAACUAGUCAGGAGCCACGAUCAAUUGACAGGUAGCAUCUGCAAUGGCCUCAUACAAGAUUAAGCUGAUUGGUCCAGAUGGGAAAGAGAAUGAGCUUCCUCGACGUCGACGAUAGUUGCGUCCUCGAUUCUGCAGAGUGCUGGAAUUGAAAUCCCCUAUUCAUGCUUUACCCGUGCUGGCAAAAUAUUGUCUUUCUAGUUCAGUGGAUCGAUCGGAUGGCUCAUUCCUCCACGGUAUGAGACGGGAAGCAUCUGAGUUUGCCAGGAAGUGAGAUGUUUCUUUUUGAUGACUUGUGUCAUUACUCAUGUAGCCAACUUCACUUAUUGAGAUAAAGGUUUGUUGUUGUUGUUGUUGUUGUUGUUUUCUGUGUCAUUACUCUUGUGUCAUUACAAACUAAAUUAUUACAUUUGUACUGAGAUCGCUUGGCUUCAAUUUGAUUUGGAUUUAUGCCUUGUAAAGGUUAUUUUGAGGUA